rnacentral:rRNA from 1 species
CCUACGGGGGGCAGCAGUGGGGAAUAUUGGACAAUGGGGGGAACCCUGAUCCAGCCAUGCCGCGUGUGUGAAGAAGGCCCUCGGGUUGUAAAGCACUUUCAGUGAGGAAGAACGCCUGGUGGUUAAUACCCAUCAGGAAAGACAUCACUCACAGAAGAAGCACCGGCUAACUCCGUGCCAGCAGCCGCGGUAAUACGGAGGGUGCGAGCGUUAAUCGGAAUUACUGGGCGUAAAGCGCGCGUAGGUGGCUUGAUAAGCCGGUUGUGAAAGCCCCGGGCUCAACCUGGGAACGGCAUCCGGAACUGUCAAGCUAGAGUGCAGGAGAGGAAGGUAGAAUUCCCGGUGUAGCGGUGAAAUGCGUAGAGAUCGGGAGGAAUACCAGUGGCGAAGGUGGCCUUCUGGACUGACACUGACACUGAGGUGCGAAAGCGUGGGUAGCAAACAGGAUUAGAUACCCGGGUAGUC